UUGUCCAGAUUAUUCCCGAAUAUCUCCAGUGAGGGAGACUCCACAGCCUCUUUGGGCAACCUGUUCCAGUGCUAAGGCACCCACGCAGUAAAGAAGUUAUUCCACAUGUUCAGGUAGAACUUCCUGGGUUUCAGUCUCUGC